rnacentral:rRNA from 1 species
GGGGAAUUUUGGACAAUGGGCGCAAGCCUGAUCCAGCCAUGCCGCGUGUCUGAAGAAGGCCUUCGGGUUGUAAAGGACUUUUGUCAGGGAAGAAAAGGCUGUUGCUAAUACCGACAGUUGAUGACGGUACCUGAAGAAUAAGCACCGGCUAACUACGUGCCAGCAGCCGCGGUAAUACGUAGGGUGCGAGCGUUAAUCGGAAUUACUGGGCGUAAAGCGAGCGCAGACGGUUACUUAAGCAGGAUGUGAAAUCCCCGGGCUCAACCUGGGAACUGCGUUCUGAACUGGGUGACUAGAGUGUGUCAGAGGGAGGUAGAAUUCCACGUGUAGCAGUGAAAUGCGUAGAGAUGUGGAGGAAUACCGAUGGCGAAGGCAGCCUCCUGGGAUAACACUGACGUUCAUGCUCGAAAGCGUGGGUAGCAAACAGGAUUAGAUACCCUGGUGGUCCACGCCCUAAACGAUGUCAAUUAGCUGUUGGGCAACUUGAUUGCUUAGUAGCGUAGCUAACGCGUGAAAUUGACCGCCUGGGGAGUACGGUCGCAAGAUUA